CCUACGGGGGGCAGCAGUGAGGAAUAUUGGUCAAUGGGCUUACGCCUGAACCAGCCAAGUCGCGUGAGGGAAGACUGCCCUAUGGGUUGUAAACCUCUGUCAGCAGGGAAGAACGGUCACUGUGCUAAUCAGCAGUGAAUUGACGGUACCUGAAAAGGAAGCACCGGCUAACUCCGUGCCAGCAGCCGCGGUAAUACGGAGGGUGCGAGCGUUAAUCGGAAUUACUGGGCGUAAAGCGCUAGGAGGCGGUAGGUCAAGUCAAGGGUGAAAUCCCCGCGCUCAACGUGGGAACUGCCUUUGAAACUGGCAAACUGGAGUGUGUGAGAGGAUAGUGGAAUUCCAGGUGUAGGAGUGAAAUCCGUAGAUAUCUGGCGGAACAUCAGUAGCGAAGGCGACUAUCUGGCACAUAACUGACGCUGAGGAGCGAAAGCGUGGGUAGCAAACAGGAUUAGAUACCCGGGUAGUC
rnacentral:rRNA from 1 species